rnacentral:rRNA from 1 species
UACGUAGGGUGCAAGCGUUGUUCGGAAUCACUGGGCGUAAAGCGCACGUAGGCGGGUUCGUGUGUCGAUUGUGAAAUCCCUGGGCUUAACCUGGGAAUGGCAGUCGAAACUGCGGAUCUUGAAUGCCUGAGAGGAUGGGGGAAUUCCUGGUGGAGAAGUGAAAUUCGUAGAUAUCAGGAGGAACACCUGAGGCGAAGGCGCCUGUCUGGCAGUGCAUUGACGCUGAGGUGCGAAAGCGUGGGGAGCAAACAGG